rnacentral:rRNA from 1 species
UACGGGAGGCAGCAGUCGGGAAUAUUGCACAAUGGAGGAAACUCUGAUGCAGCAACGCCGCGUGAGGGAUGAAGGUUUUCGGAUUGUAAACCUCUGUCCUUAGUGAAGAAACAAAUGACGGUAACUAAGGAGGAAGCUCCGGCUAACUACGUGCCAGCAGCCGCGGUAAU